UACGUAGGGUGCGAGCGUUGUCCGGAAUUAUUGGGCGUAAAGAGCUCGUAGGCGGUGUGUCACGUCGGCCGUGAAAACCUGCAGCUUAACUGUGGGCGUGCGGUCGAUACGGGCAUCACUGGAGUUCGGCAGGGGAGACUGGAAUUCCUGGUGUAGCGGUGAAAUGCGUAGAUAUCUGGAGGAAUACCGGUGGCGAAGGCGGCAUCCUGGACCGGCAUUGACGCUGAGUGAGCGAAAGCCAGGGGAGCAAACGGG
rnacentral:rRNA from 1 species